GUUCAAAGUUCAAAGUGUUAAUUGAUCUAAAAUUCUUUACUGCAGCGGCUGAACGUUGUCUAGUGGGUUGUCGGACGGCUUGUACAGUUUGGCAAUAACUUCGUAAAAAUUUUAUUUGAGAAAAAUGUUAUUUUCAUUAUUAAUCCAUCAAAGACAAUUCAUAUAACAAUCAGUGAUAUCAAAGAUUUCAAAUUAUCAGCAAUCAAAAUUCAAUCAACAGUAAUUAAAAGUAAUUAUAAAAUAAAGUGUAACAAUGCAGCCAAGAAUU
rnacentral:lncRNA from 1 species